rnacentral:lncRNA from 1 species
GGCUAUGUAGGGUCCGGAAAGAACAGGAUUACAGAAUUCAGCAGGAUUUUCUCCAAGUCCAAGGCAAAAGUAAGCAAAUAGCAUCCAUAUUUUAACAGAAAACGUGGAUGACCGUAGUUUAGGUUGUAUGCGCGGCAAAUCAAGCCAGCUUAGUUUCCCGCGCAGUUAGCGACUGAGUCCUCUCCAGGUGCAGGGAAAAAAAACUAGGGAGAAGGCGG